GCAUAACCUGCCGAAAGGCAGGACAAUUCUCGAUGUGACCGCAAGGUUAAAGUCGCAAGACGCUAUGGAAGUGGCCUGGGCACCAUCAGCUUGUUGGUAAGGUAAUGGCUUACCAAGGCUAUGACGGUUAGGGGCCCCGAGAGGGGAAACCUCCACACUGGAACUGAGACACGGCCCAGACUCCUACGGGAGGCAGCAGUUUGGAAUUUUGGACAAUGGGCGAAAGCCUGAUCCAGCGACGCCGCGUGGACGAUGAAGGUCUUCGGAUUGUAAAGUCCUUUUGUUAGGGAAGAAUAUUUUGACGGUACCUAACGAAUAAGAGGUUGCUAACUCUGUGCCAGCAGCAGCGGUAA
rnacentral:rRNA from 1 species